AGCAGCCGCGGUAAUUCCAGCUCCAAUAGCGUAUAUUAAAGUUGUUGCAGUUAAAAAGCUCGUAGUUGAAUUUCGGGAUCAAUACGUCGGUCGUACCUCGGUACGUACUAACGUUAUUGAUUUCUCCCUUCUGACGAACCGUGAUGUCAUUAAUUUGGUGUUACGGGGAGUUAGGACUGUUACUUUGAAAAAAUUGAGUGUUUAAAGCAAGCAAUCGCUCGAAUACAUUAGCAUGGAAUAAUGAAAUAGGACGUUCGAACCUAUUUUGUUGGUUUUUAGGAUCGACGUAAUGAUUAAUAGGGAUAGUUGGGGGCAUUAGUAUUCAAUUGUCAGAGGUGAAAUUCUUGGAUUUAUUGAAGACUAACUACUGCGAAAGCAUUUGCCAAGGANGUUUCAUUAUCAAGAACGAAGUUAGGGAUCGAAGACGAUCAGAUACGUCGUAGUCUUAACCAUAACUAUGCCGACUAGGGAUCGGAUGAUGUUAUUUUUANGUACUCAUUCGGCGCCUUACGGGAACCAA
rnacentral:rRNA from 1 species